CAUUAAUCAAUCAAUCAAUCAAUCAACUUUAUUUGUAUAGCACAUUUAAAAAUCCGCCAAGGAGACCAAAGUGCUUUACAUAGCAAAACACAGCAAAAUAAGUCAACUUUGAAAGAUAAAACAAACACAUAAAAUAAAAUAAAUAAAAGACGAGGUCAUAAACUGUCAUUGCACAUUAAAAGCUGACGAAAAAUAAAAUGUUUUAAGACGUGAUUUAAAAUCCGUAAGUGAGGGGGCCUGUCUAAUAGUAAGUGGUAAUUGGUUCCACAGCCUGGGCGCCAUCACCGCAAAUGCACGGUCACCCCUAAGCUUCAGCCUUGAUCUUGGGACUACUAGAAGCAGGUGGUCAGCUGAUCUGAGGGUUCUGGUUGGACUGUAAGGCUGAAGCAGUUCUGACAAAUAUGGCGGCGCAAGAUUAUUCAAACAUUUAAAAACAAAUAAUAAUAUCUUAAAAUGUAUUCGGUAAUGUACCGGGAGCCAGUGAAGAGAUGCUAAAAUUGGGGUGAUAUGUUCACGCCAAAACAACAACAAUAAUAUUAACAACAACAAUAAUAUUACAUUUUAUUUUUAAGUGUCUUUCAGGACACUCAAGAUUGCCGUACAAGGUAAAAGGUAAAAAAUAAGUUAAAAUACACACAUACAGAUAAAACCCACAACAAUGUUAAAUUAAAAAGAAUAAUGGAAUUAUGAGGAAGAAAGCCUGUCUGAAUAAAUAUGUUUCAAGAUGUUACUUGGCUGAGAUUGUAAGGAAGUCCAAAGUAUUGUGCGGCCUCAUCAACAUCAAAUUAUAAUCGAUAUAAGGGUCAGCAGGGAUGAAAUCGAACUACAUAUUCACAGCCAUUCAGUACUAGCCAACAUUCUAUAAUGAAGUGGAACACUGAUAAAGGUAUUGUUUAUGGUUUUUAUUUAAAACUGUAUUUUUGAUGACUGCUGUUAGUUAAAACGUCCACUAGAUGGCAUUAUAUGAUCUUGCAUUGCACUAAAACCAGGUAUAUGAGCGUUGCAUUUUGGGAAAUGAAGAUGCUAUGAACGCUAAUGGAGAAAACGCUAACGCUCGCGCGACCUCUUUCAAACCAAAGAAAAACUGACGAGUUCCAGACUGCUCUAAUCAGCGAAUUACAUCUGAGUUCUGUGUGAUACAAGUGUCUGACAGAAUUGAUGUCAAGGAGGAUUCGGCCUGAUUCAAUGAGGGAUUGAGGACCAAUUUUUUUCAACUUCAGCCAACUGUUGGAGCAUCACCCAAAGCAGAUAAGGUCGUGGAGGAAAAGACGUUAGUUUGACCAAUAAGCUACAUUGUAGCUUAUGACACAAUUGAAGUGGGCGUCAACUGUUCCUCCGGCUUUUGGCACAUUUAAAUGGAGGCCAGUAUCCGGACGACUCCAGGUUACCUGCUGAUAUCGACAAAGAGAAGCACAGGAUAAAUUGCCACUCAGUGACGCGUGCUGCCAGUCUUCCAUUGCAAGUAUUGGUGGCUCGGUGGUAGAGUUUUCGCACGCUGCGCGGGAACCCCGAGACUGAUGCCCGGGCACGCCGAUGCAUCUUGGGGUAGCCUUUGCAGCUAGCCUCGCAUCGGGGCAACAGUUCCGCUACGACAACGCGAGCAGACCAGGAUAUACGGUGUUGGAAAUGUCCCACACUACAACAAAUCAUUAUUUUAUCCACACUGGUUUGAGUGCAAUAUUGUUGUGGUUGGUUCGUUGUUUAAAAUGUGUAAAAGAAAUAAUGUUUGUUUUGCAUGUGGGAUGAGAAUUCAGUAAAACGGCAUGUGAGGGACUAACUUGUCCCCCCCCUCCACAGUACUUAAGUUACUGAAUAUGUAUAUAAAAAUGGAUCUUAAGCUACUAUACCGAGUGUGGUUUGAUUGUCAAUAUCAGUUUGCAUAUGACUGAUGAAAAAGGUAAAAUUUCAGAUUUGAAGAAGUCCAUUGGAACUGUUUUGAAAUAAUAAAAAAAACCAUCCCACCUUGUUUCCAAUUGCCAAAUAUAUAUGCCUUGUAGACUGAAGUGCAAAUUGUGUUUAUUCACAGAUGCAAGACAGUGUUAAAGUAUAAGAAUAAAAUGUCGCAGUAAGGUUUAUUGACC